rnacentral:lncRNA from 10 species
CGGAGAUGUCAAGUGUGCUGUCAGACGCAGGGCUCUGGAGCUGACCGGAGAGGUACAGAUUUGGGCACUGCUGGCAUUCUGUGAUAACUGAAGUUGAAGGAAGAAUGGGAACGAAAAGAGAAAGAGGACACAGGGACAAAACCUCGUGAAGAACACGAAUAUUUAGAGAACAAGCCGCUGAAGAGAAACUCUGCGGAAAAAAAAGAAAAAGCCAGAGAGGCAGGAAGAAACCAGCACUUACAGAGGCCAAGGCAGGUGGAUCACUUGAGGUCAGGAGUUCGAGAUCGGCCUGGCCAACGUGGCAAAACCCCAUCUUUACUAAAAAUACAAAAAUUUGCUGGGCGUGGUGGUGCACUCCUGUAGUCCCAGCUACUUGGGAGGCUGAGACAGAAGAAUCACUUGAACCUGGAAGGCGGAGGUUGCAGUGAGCCAAGAUCGCACCACUGCACUCCAGAGAGAGACUCCAUCCCCUCAAAAAUAAAAAAAA